rnacentral:rRNA from 1 species
GGGUGAUGGCGUGCCUUUUGUAGAAUGAACCGGCGAGUUACGAUCCCGUGCAAGGUUAAGCAGAAGAUGCGGAGCCGCAGCGAAAGCGAGUCUGAAUAGGGCGAAUUGAGUACGUGGUCGUAGACCCGAAACCAGGUGAUCUACCCAUGUCCAGGGUGAAGUUCAGGUAACACUGAAUGGAGGCCCGAACCCACGCACGUUGAAAAGUGCGGGGAUGAGGUGUGGGUAGGGGUGAAAUGCCAAUCGAACCUGGAGAUAGCUGGUUCUCUCCGAAAUAGCUUUAGGGCUAGCCUCAAGGUAAGAGUCUCGGAGGUAGAGCACUGAUUGGACUAGGGGCCCCUACCGGGUUACCGAAUUCAGUCAAACUCCGAAUGCCGAUGACUUAUCCUUGGGAGUCAGACUGCGAGUGAUAAGAUCCGUAGUCGAAAGGGAAACAGCCCAGACCGCCAGCUAAGGUCCCAAAGUAUACGUUAAGUGGAAAAGGAUGUGGAGUUGCUUAGACAACCAGGAUGUUGGCUUAGAAGCAGCCACCAUUUAAAGAGUGCGUAAUAGCUCACUGGUCGAGUGACUCUGCGCCGAAAAUGUACCGGGGCUAAACGUAUCACCGAAGCUGCGGACUGUUCUUCGAACAGUGGUAGGAGAGCGUUCUAAGGGCUGUGAAGCAAGACCGGAAGGACUUGUGGAGCGCUUAGAAGUGAGAAUGCCGGUAUGAGUAGCGAAAGAGGGGUGAGAAUCCCCUCCACCGAAUGCCUAAGGUUUCCUGAGGAAGGCUCGUCCGCUCAGGGUUAGUCGGGACCUAAGCCGAGGCCGAAAGGCGUAGGCGAUGGAUAACAGGUUGAUAUUCCUGUACCACCUCCUCACCAUUUGAGCAAUGGGGGGACGCAGGAGGAUAGGGUAAGCGCGGUAUUGGAUAUCCGCGUCCAAGCAGUUAGGCUGGGAAAUAGGCAAAUCCGUUUCCCGUGAAGGCUGAGCUGUGAUGGCGAGCGAAUUAUAGUAGCGAAGUUCCUGAUUCCACACUGCCAAGAAAAGCCUCUAGCGAGGUGAGAGGUGCCCGUACCGCAAACCGACACAGGUAGGCGAGGAGAGAAUCCUAAGGUGAUCGAGAGAACUCUCGUUAAGGAACUCGGCAAAAUGACCCCGUAACUUCGGGAGAAGGGGUGCUCUGUUAGGGUGCAAGCCCGAGAGAGCCGCAGUGAAUAGGCCCAGGCGACUGUUUAGCAAAAACACAGGUCUCUGCGAAGCCGUAAGGCGAAGUAUAGGGGCUGACGCCUGCCCGGUGCUGGAAGGUUAAGAGGAGCGCUUAGCGUAAGCGAAGGUGCGAAUUGAAGCCCCAGUAAACGGCGGCCGUAACUAUAACGGUCCUAAGGUAGCGAAAUUCCUUGUCGGGUAAGUUCCGACCCGCACGAAAGGCGCAACGAUCUGGGCACUGUCUCAACGAGAGACUCGGUGAAAUUAUAGUACCUGUGAAGAUGCAGGUUACCCGCGACAGGACGGAAAGACCCCGUGGAGCUUUACUGCAGCCUGAUAUUGAAUGUUGGUACAGCUUGUACAGGAUAGGUAGGAGCCUUGGAAACCGGAGCGCCAGCUUCGGUGGAGGCAUCGGUGGGAUACUACCCUGGCUGUAUUGACCUUCUAACCCGCCGCCCUUAUCGGGC